UUAAAAAGCUCGUAGUUGAACCUUGGGCCUGGCUGGCCGGUCCGCCUCACCGCGUGCACUGGUCCGGCCGGGCCUUUCCCUCUGCGGAACCCCAUGCCCUUCACUGGGUGUGGCGGGGAAACAGGACUUUUACUUUGAAAAAAUUAGAGUGCUCAAGGCAGGCCUAUGCUCGAAUACAUUAGCAUGGAAUAAUAGAAUAGGACGUGUGGUUCUAUUUUGUUGGUUUCUAGGACCGCCGUAAUGAUUAAUAGGGAUAGUCGGGGG
rnacentral:rRNA from 1 species